rnacentral:rRNA from 1 species
AUUGAACGCUGGCGGCAGGCCUAACACAUGCAAGUCGAGCGGGGUUUUCGGACCUAGCGGCGGACGGGUGAGUAAUGCGUAGGAAGCUGCCCGAUAGAGGGGGAUACCAGUUGGAAACGACUGUUAAUACCGCAUAAUGUCUACGGACCAAAGUGUGGGACCUUCGGGCCACAUGCUAUCGGAUGCGCCUACGUGGGAUUAGCUAGUUGGUGAGGUAAUGGCUGACCAAGGCGACGAUCUCUAGCUGGUUUGAGAGGAUGAUCAGCCACACUGGAACGGAGACACGGUCCAGACUCCUACGGGAGGCAGCAGUGGGGAAUAUUGGACAAUGGGCGCAAGCCUGAUCCAGCCAUGCCGCGUGUGUGAAGAAGGCCUUCGGGUUGUAAAGCACUUUCAGCGAGGAGGAAGGGAUGUAUGUUAAUAGCAUGCAUUUUUGACGUUACUCGCAGAAGAAGCACCGGCUAACUCUGUGCCAGCCGCCGCCGUAAAAC